rnacentral:lncRNA from 1 species
GUCUCCGCCUGGGGUCGUCUGAGCACUGCGGCUUAGAAGGCUGCUCUGCACAACGUGGGGGAAGGGGCAGAGGCCGCUGCGCCGCGGCUCCCCGCAUCGCAGUCGGUCUCCCCUCCCCCCCAUUGAAGCUCCGUCGAGUCCGAGCCCGCGGGCGGGAGGCAGAGGCCAGCUGGGGAAACCGAGGCACAGACUGUACCAAGGCGCACCAGGUGUUAGCACACUACGAAGAAGCCAAGUGAAAGCCUAUGAGGAGCGACCCGUCCGAGGCCAGGAUUUUCCCCAGGGCCUGGGUCCUGGGGAUCGGGGUUAGAUGAAAGGGUCCUGGGAUUCCGGAAGGCCUGAGCGCCCGCUGCCCCGACAGCUUCGCGGGGUGGAUUCAGCUGGAUCACCGCGAGGGUCCCCGAUCUCACGAAAUUAAUCGAGGAGUAAAGAUUACAUUUAACCUCUGCAGACAGCAAGACAGGGACCACUCUCCCUCCCAGCCUGGCGCCAGCUUGAACCCGAGGGCAUGUCAACAGGAGCCAGGAACUGGAGGCGAAGCAUCUUUCAUUUCCUCUGCGGCGGUGGAACAAGUGAGGGACCUGGCAGCAUCUAGCGGCGUGAUCCAGAGCCUGGUGGAGAGCUGGGAAGCUUGCAGCUCCUCUAAUUCUUACUGCUAUAAACCAAAGGAGAUAACUCUGUCUGGUGCCCUCCUUGGCUAUGACCCUGAGGCAUGAGCUGUCAGAGGGCACUCAGACCUCGUCUCUGUGUGUCUCUCUGGUUUUUCAUUUGACAAAGCAAAGCAUUGGGGCAUUUGUCCUGUUUGUGUGACUCCACAGAGAGCUCCAGGGUGAGUCCCCAGGCAGGAAAAGUCACUGACCGGUGUCUGAAAUCUGAGGACGUCUGGGGCCCGAGGCUGGGCGUUUAGAGCUACUACAAACAACAGCGCGUUCUUCGUAAAGUGAUUUGAAUAAUCUCAUUUUUUUCCUCUAAAUCCAAGCCUGUAUGAAAUAUUAAUUUCGUCAACAAGUGGAGAAAAUGCCACCGUGGAUCUGUUCUCCGAUGGUGUACCUGGUAUGAAGAGAGAAGCCUGUCGAGAGGGGCCAUGAACAUCAGCCUGGUUUAUUAGCUGCACAGGCUUUUUUCCUUUGUUUCUUUUCAUUUAAUUCAAAGUGAAACAACUCAGCAUGCAAAACUAAAAUUAGCUGGGAAAAAAGGUGUAAGUGAAUAAACAGGCAGAUCCAUUAGACUCGAUGGGUUAUCGGAUCCCUUGCCACUCCUCAGACAGCGGCCUAUUAAAAGUGGUAAUGUUCGCUGCCGGCGGCGCCCCUGGCAAAGAAAGAAGGCCAAGGCAGGCCUAUUUCACAUGCAUCAGACACAAGAAUUAAAUAGACCAAUGUUCCCUAAAAGACUGAAGUACAUCUCUUUCUGACGUUCAUCUCAGGCAAAAAUUCAUUGAUCUCAGUAUGUCCCUUGGCAAUUAUAAAAUAUUAAAUCCAAGUCACA